rnacentral:ncRNA from 1 species
AAAGACUCAGUCCUAACCUUACCGUUAAUUGUUGCCAAACAUAUACAUGCAAGUAUCCGCGCCCCAGUGUAAAUGCCCUUAACCUCUUACCACCAAGACAAAAGGAGCGGGCAUCAGGCACACCAUAAACUGUAGCCCAAGACGCCUUGCCUAGCCACACCCCCACGGGUACUCAGCAGUAAUUAACAUUAAGCAAUAAGUGUAAACUUGACUUAGUUAUGGCAACAUUAGGGUUGGUAAAUCUUGUGCCAGCCACCGCGGUCACACAAGAGACCCAAAUUAACCGUACACGGCGUAAAGAGUGGUACUAUACUAUCAAACUAGCUAAGAUGAAAGUAUAGCUGAGCUGUCAUAAGCCUAAGCUAUAUCUAACUUUCUCCCCGAUCCUAGCAUUAAUGAUCGACCACACUCCCACGAAAGCUAAGACACAAACUGGGAUUAGAUACCCCACUAUGCUUAGCCCUAAAUCUUGAUACUUACUAUACUAAAGUAUCCGCCUGAGAACUACGAGCACAAACGCUUAAAACUCUAAGGACUUGGCGGUGCCCCAAACCCACCUAGAGGAGCCUGUCCUAUAAUCGAUAAUCCACGAUACACCCAACCGCCCCUUGCCAAAACAGCCUACAUACCGCCGUCGCCAGCUCACCUCCACUGAGAGUACAACAGUGAGCACAAUAGUCUUAACCCACUAGCAAGACAGGACAAGGUAUAGCACAUGGGGCGGAAGAGAUGGGCUACAUUUACUAAAAUAGAAGAACAACGGAAAGGGAUGUGAAAACAAUCCCUAGAAGGCGGAUUUAGCAGUAAAGCGGAACAAUACAGUCCCCUUUAAGCUGGCCCUGGGGCACGUACAUACCGCCCGUCACCCUCCUCACAAGCUACCAAGUCUUAAUAACUAAUACCCACAUCAGCUGAAGAUGAGGUAAGUCGUAACAAGGUAAGCGUACUGGAAAGUGCGCUUAGCAUAC